GUGCCAGCAGCCGCGGUAAUACGGAGGAUCCAAGCGUUAUCCGGAAUCAUUGGGUUUAAAGGGUCCGUAGGUGGAUGAUUAAGUCAGGGGUGAAAGUCUGCGGCUCAACCGUAGAAUUGCCUUUGAUACUGGUCAUCUUGAAUCAUUGUGAAGUAGUUAGAAUAUGUAGUGUAGCGGUGAAAUGCAUAGAUAUUACAUAGAAUACCGAUUGCGAAGGCAGAUUACUAACAAUGCAUUGACACUGAUGGACGAAAGCGUGGGGAGCGAACAGGAUUAGAUACCCUUGUAGUCC
rnacentral:rRNA from 1 species